rnacentral:lncRNA from 1 species
GCUCUUUUAUGAUAGACAAUGCCUUCUUACAGAGAAAAUUCCCGUAGGAAUGAUAUUUAUCCACCUCAGCCCACAUAUCCUUUGAAUAAGAAUGUGUCACAUGUAGAGUUCCGGGCUACUUUUUAGGUGCUAGCCCAAGCUGUGAAAGCAAAUAUUCAGGGUAAUCGUCAGGCUACAGCCCCACCUUAGUAAAAUGCAGACUUAGCCGCUGC